GGCUCGGGUGGGAGGCAGGGAAUUCCUGGCGUCGGCCUACGCGGAUGAUGUGCUCCUGGCGCUCACUGAUCCCGUCAACUCAAUGAGGGCCUUGCAGGGUGUCCUGGAGGCAUAUGGAGCUGUUUCAGGAUACAAAGCUAACAUGACCAAAUCCAGCGCCCUCCCCAUAGAGAUUCCGAUAGGGGACUUGACAGCUAUACAAAGGGCACACCAUCUCCGUAUUGAACGCCAGUCGAUCAAAUAUCUAGGCAUUAAACUGACAGCAGCCCCUGACCAACUUUAUUCACAGAACUAUACGCCACUUCUGAAACAGCUUAUCAGGGAACUAGAGACCUGGACCGAUAGACCCAUCUCCUGGAUAGGGAGGAUUCAUGCGGUCAAAAUGAAUAUCCUACCCAGGAUAUUAUUUUAUUUCCAGUCUCUGCCCAUUCAUGUCUCCAAGACACAGCUAGCGCCCUUGCAACAAGCAAUAGGGAACUUCGUGUGGCAAAACAAACGCCACAGGAUGUCGAGGCAUAUAUUGCACAGACCAAAAAACAGAGACGGGCUAGGCUUGCCUAACCUAUACGGAUACUACAUGGCGACACAACUGUCGCAAAUAGCAUUAUGGCAUUCACCACUCGGAGAGAGGAAAUGGGUGGACUUGGAGUCACUGAUGGUGGGGGCUGAUAUUCCACAGCUGCUUAUAUGGGUCCCCAAAGAACAUAGACCAAUCAUUAGAUCGACUUGCCCAGCUAUCCUAAAC